rnacentral:lncRNA from 1 species
UUUAAUAAAAUAUAGGAUACAAUAUAACUAAGCAAAAUCAAACAGUUUUAGACAACCAAUACAAGAUUUUAGAACUUGACAUCGUGAUAAACAAAUUGUACAUUCAGGAACUCGUUUAAAUAUUAUAGGUUGAUUGACGAAUACUCUACAGUUGAUUAGAGCCCAUGAUGAUGCGAAGAUAAUUAAUAUCACCUAAAUUCAAGAAACCAGCGUAAAGAAGUUUACAUUCACAACUCAUCUAACCAUUAUAGAUCAGUAGUGUCGUCAUAAUUUAAAUGAACUCACAGAUAGCAAUGGGGCACUGCACCGAAGCAGUAUUACAAAAUAUGUGAAAUAAAACUGUAAUACAAAUUGCUCUAUAAAAUUUAAUAGAAAUAAAUUUAUUU